UACAGAGGUCCCAAGCGUUGUUCGGAUUCAUUGGGCGUAAAGGGUGCGUAGGCGGCGCGGUAAGUCGGGUGUGAAAUCUCGGGGCUUAACUCCGAAACUGCAUUCGAUACUGCCGUGCUUGAGGACUGGAGAGGAGACUGGAAUUUACGGUGUAGCGGUGAAAUGCGUAGAUAUCGUAAGGAAGACCAGUGGCGAAGGCGGGUCUCGUGGACAGUUCCUGACGCUGAGGCACGAAGGCCAGGGGAGCAAACAGG
rnacentral:rRNA from 1 species